rnacentral:lncRNA from 1 species
GUGGUCGCUGGCAGCCAAGUCAAGGUCCUUGGUGGGGACCCCGGCGAGCUGGAUGCGCAGCCCACCCCCAGCCCUUCCUUCCUGGGGUGGGUGGCUCCCAGCUGCCGGGUGGGUGGGCUGAAAGCCGGCAUCUGCCAGGGUCCGGGCGUCUGUGCUGUGAGCUCAGGGACCGGGGCUCCUUCAAGGCCCUAGAUCUGGGGGAGCCUCCGGCCCUGAAGCUGGGCUGGGCGGCGGUCCCUGGAUGCCUGAGAGUAGAGGAGGAGGGGAGGGGAGGGGAGAGGAGAGCCAGUCCGGGACAGGAUGGACAGACUUCGGGCAUGCAAGGUCACCAUGAACCCGGGUUCUGGCUGGCAGGAGAGGAGGAAGCUUCGUCCGGGGUCCCCACUGCCCUGCGGCCACAGCUCGGGGAGGAAGCUUCGUCCGGGGCCCCCACUGCCCUGUGGCCACAGCUGGGUGGUGGAAGCUUCAUCCAGGGUCCCCGCUGCCCUGUGGCCACAGCUGGGGGGAGGGCACAGUUCUUGGGCCGCGCCUCCCCGCACUUCCCGAGCUGGGUCUGAGUGGAUCUAGGUUGCAGCCCUGGCGGCUCCUUCUAAAUCACUUGUGCAGAUUAAAAACGGCAACUGUCCCAGAGCUGACCCCAGGGGACCCUGAAAGCUGCCCCCCGCCCCCCAGGCACUCUCUGUUCUCAGCGUCUGCCGGACUCUGGGGCGGCUGCUUCUAGGUCCCCGCCCCCAAUACCUCCGCCCAGGCCGUCCCUGGGGAGCUGGCGCCAGGUCAAGCCCACCACAGCCCGAGGCCUGGACAAGGAGCCCCUUCUCCUUUAUGGCCCCUCCCCUCCCGCCCCCCUUCCAGUUGGAAAGUGGGGAGGAAGGAAGAGAGGAAAGGAGUAAGAAAGAGAGGCUGUCCCGAGGGGUCCCGCAGGGGUGCCCCCACCACGGUUCCUGUCGCUUCUCUGACUGGGACUGACUCCGUGGCCAGGCCACCGAAACCCACAGGCACCAAGCAGAGACGCAGGUACCCCUAAAGGUGGCCCCUGCCUCAAGACAGGAUCUGGGGGCCAGGAAGGUACCUGGGCCUUUGCCCUGAGCCAACCCAGGAAGGCAGUGGGACGGGCAGCAUAGGAGCAGAGGAGGGGCUCUGCCAGGGCCUCCAUUACCGCCUUGUGUCUCCCGUCCCAGCCCUGGGAUCCGUGCUAAUCACGGGGGCUGCCCACCCCUGCUGCUUUGAAGCUGCCCUGAGGGGAGGGGGGGCCAGCUGCCAGGGGUGCGUGUGCCCGCCCAGCCCCUCCAGCUGCGUGGGAGCCUGGACUGACCACAGGGCGGCCAGCAGCCUUUGAAGUACUGGGGUGCGGCCACAGGAAGUGGGCGGCAGCCCACCCAGGCCCUAAGCCCCACCUCCCCAGGGUAAGCGCCUGGUCCACCAACUGGGCUGGGAGCCCAGCCUGCAGCGUCCCCUCUGCACUCCAGGUGUGCCUGGGCUGGGGACUGCAGCCUCUCCCCCAACCCCUAGACCCAACCCCAGCCCCAGUUUAGCCCAGGCUUUGUGGAAAGCCCCUGGGGCGGAGGAGGAAGGAGCAGGCCAGGAGCUGGGGCUGCAAGGAGGGAGGGUGAAGGCGGCUGGAGCCUGUCACAUUCCAGGUGGGCUUCCCCUUCCACCAGCUGAUGUCCUUCUGGGCCUGGGUGGUCUCCCACCAUGGAUACCAGGAGGGCAGGAUGAAGGCAGUUCUCCCUACCUCAGUCAUUCUCUGCAUCUGGUGAUGACCUGAUCUCCCCACCUUCCCCCUUUACCAUCCCUAACGGGAAUCAUUCAUUCGGCGGACGUAUGUCACGGGCCUGCUGGGCUGGACGAAGCACUGGCCGGUCCCAUCCUUGCCCUCAGGGUAUUUGCUGUGAGCAAGUAGGGAUUUAACCCAAAGAGGGGUUUUAUUUUAUUUUAUUUUUAUUAUUUAUUUAUUUAUUUGAGACGGAAUCUCGCUCUGUCGCCCAGACUGGUGUGCAGUGGCGCCAUCUCGGCUCACUGCAAGCUCCGCCUCCCGGUUUCAAGCCAUUCUCCUGCCUCAGCCUCCCAAGUAGCUGGGACUACAGGCGCCCCUCACCAUGCCCGGGUAAUUUUUGUAUGUUUAGUAGACACGGGGUUUCACCAUGUUGGCCAGGAUGGUCUCAAACUCCUGACCUCAGGUGAUCCACCCACCUCGGCCUCCAAAAGUGCUGGGAUUACAGGCAUGAGCCACUGAGCCUGGCCUAUUUUAUGUUUUAAUUUUAUUUAUUUAUUUAUUUUGAGACAGAGUUUGUUCUGUUGCCCAGGCUGGAGUGCAGUGGCGCGAUCUCCGCUCACUGCAACCUCUGCCUCCUGGGUUCAAGCAAUCCUCCUGCUUCAGCCUCCCGAGUAGCUGAGAUUACAGACUCGUGCCACCAACUCCUGACCUCAGGUGAUUCUCCCACCUCAGCCUCCCAAAGUGUUGGGAUUACAGCCAUGAGCCAAUAUGCCUGGCCUAAUUUUUGUAUUUUUGGUAGAGACGGGGUUUCACCAUGUUGGCCAUGGUUGCCCAGGCUGGUCUCAAACUCCUGACGUCAGGUGAUCCACCCACCUUGGCCUCCCAAAGUGCUGGGAUUACAAGUGUGAGCCACCACACCCAGCCUAAUUUUUGUAUUUUUAGUAAAGACAGGGUUUUACCAUGUUGGUCAGGCUAGUCUCGAACUCCUGACCUCAGGUGAUCUGCCCACCUCAGCCUCCCAAAGUGCUGGGAUUAUAGAAAUGAGUCACUGCGCCCGGCCAAGAAGGGUUUUGCAGGAAGCAAACACCAGCAGCUGCCAUCCUGGAGGGGAGGUGGAUCAGGAGCUGAGACCAGAGAGAUGGGUAGGAAUUCACCCUGUGAAUUAGGCUGUGGAGUUGGGGCUGACCCUGGGAGAGGCCCUAGUGCUGAAGGAAUAAGAACAGAGGCCAGAGUGGCUGGGACCUUAGGGACCAGGAGGAAUGAGGCUAGGGAUGGGGAGUGGGGAGAUGGGUAGGGCUUUGCAAACUGGUGCAAGGAGUUGGAAAGGAAGCCAAUUUUUUUUUUUUUUUUUUUUUUUGAGACGGAGUCUCGCUCUGUCACCAGGCUGGAGUGCAGGGGCGCCAUCUCGGCUCACUGCAACCUCUGUCUCCCUCGUUUAAGUGCUUCUCCUGCCUCAGCCUCCUGAGUGGCUGGGAAUACAGGCGUGUGCCACCACGCCCGGGUAAUUUUUGUAUUUUUUUUUUUUUUUUUUUUGAGAUGUAGUCUCGCCCUGUCACCCAGGCUGGAAUGCAGUGGCGCGAUCUCGGCUUACCACAACCUCCACCUCCAGGGUUCAAAUGAUUCUCCUGCCUCAGCCUCCCCAGUAGCUAGGAUUACAGGCACACGCCACCACACCCAGCUAAUUUUUAUAUCUUUAGUAGAGACGGGAUUUCAGCAUGUUGGUCAGGCUGGUCUUGAACUCCUGACCUUGUGAUCCGCCCACCUCGGCCUCCCAAAGUUCUGAGAUUACAGGUGUGAGCUACCGUGCCCGGCCUAAUUUUCGUAUUUUUAGUAGAGAUGGGGUUUCACCAUGUUGGCCAGGCUGGUCUCAAUCUCUUGACCUCGUGAUCCGCCCACCUCAGCCUCCCAAAGUGCUGGGAUUACAGGCGUGCGCCACCGUGCCCGGCUGAAAGGAAGCCACUUCUAAGAAGCUCCUGAAAAUUUCUCAGCUAAACAUUUCUCAGCUCCUGUCUGCAUGUCAGCGAGGUAAUGGGUGGUAAAUGCUGGUGGGAAGGCUGGAGAGCAGGGAACAGCUUAACAUACAAACCAUCCAGAGACUAAGUCCGGAGUGCUUGGGAAAGACCACGGCGUGCAGCGGGUGGGGACUGAGUGGAUAGACGUCUCCGUUUGCCAGGUGUGGACUCCCCAGGACCGGGUGCAGCAGAACGUCCAGACAUGGGUUUUGGGUGGCCCCCAUCUUCCUGGCUUGAUUUUCCCUACAAUGGGCAGUGGUUUAGGUGCUGGCAAGGCUGAAGUUCUCAGAAGGGUGCCACAAAAGGAGGGACAUUUGAAGACUUCCCACAUUUUCGAGAGAGUGACUAAGAGUGGACCACAAAAUCUGAACUGGAUAAGAAGGAAGCCAAAGAAAGGGGAAGGCCGCCUGUUUUGGAGAAAGGAGGGUUGUCCUGGAGCGAAGCGCUUGGUGAGGUGUAACAGCCGGGGAGGGGGGCAGUUGCACCACAGAGGGGGAAACUGCAAGUAGUCAUUUCAGAGUGCGUGGGUUUUGGUGACAGCUGGCUCCAAGGUGUGAGUGAGCAUGGGUGCCUGAAGUAGGGGGAAGUGGAGGGGCCACAUGACAUCUCCCCAGGUGAGUUCAGUUUCAAGGAGGGCUGAAGCAGGCGUCUCCAGGCUAUGUGAGGUCUUCCCCAUUACGACCAUCCACCCACGGCUGCAUCACUGCUGACGGCCGCGGUCGCUGCCACCUCAUUUACCGCAGUCACCGUUGGCAUCUUCUGUGGUGCCUCCAGCCCAUCGUCACCUCCCCAUUGGCAUCACCAGGACCCACUGUCCUGGCACCGCUGCCAUCCACCCAUUCACCCAGUGGGUGAGUGUCUGUUCAGAAGAUCCUCCAGGCGAGCAGUCGUGUUGAGCUCUGGUCACUGCAGCAAGCAGCACAGGCAAGGUCCUUGCUCUUAGGGAUGCAGUCAUGGGGUGACCAAAACAUAUAAAGAGAUUCAGGCCGGGUGCGGUGGCUCACGCCUGUAAUCCCAGCACUUU